ACGGAAGGCAGCAGUAGGGAAUCUUCGGCAAUGGGGGCAACCCUGCCCGAGCAACGCCGCGUGAGUGAAGAAGGUUUUCGGAUCGUAAAGCUCUGUUGUAAGAGAAGAACGUGUGUGAGAGUGGAAAGUUCACACAGUGACGGUAACUUACCAGAAAGGGACGGCUAACUACGUGCCAGCAGCCGCGGUAAUACGUAGGUCCCGAGCGUUGUCCGGAUUUAUUGGGCGUAAAGCGAGCGCAGGCGGUUUCAUAAGCCUGUAGUUAAAGGCAGUGGCUUAACCAUUGUUCGCUUUGGAAAAUGUUAGACUUGAGUGCAGAAGGGGAGAGUGGAAUUCCAUGUGUAGCGGUGAAAUGCGUAGAUAUAUGGAGGAACACCGGUGGCGAAAGCGGCUCUCUGGUCUGUAACUGACGCUGAGGCUCGAAAGCUUGGGGAGCAAACAGGAUUAGAUACCCUGGUA
rnacentral:rRNA from 1 species